AUGGUAGGAGUGGACAGAAGCGAUUACUUCCAACACCUUGUUGAUAGAGUUUGCCAAAGGUUGAAGGGAUGGAAGGAAAAGAUACUAUCAGUACAAGGCAAAGAAAUUUUGGUGAAAUCGGUGGCACAAGCAAUCCCUUCUUAUGCCAUGUCGGUCUUCAAAUUACCCAAGGGGGUUUGCAAGUCAAUAACAGAUGAAAUCGCAGGUUUUUGGUGGGGAGAUGGAGAGGAGAAAAAUAAAAUGCACUGGUUUGCAUGGUGGAAAUUAUGUGUCCCAAAGAAGAAGGGUGGCAUGGGGUUUAGGGACCUUCACAGCUUUAAUCUUGCUAUGUUAGCAAAGCAGUGUUGGCGACUUCUCCAAAAUCCUGAUUCUUUAUGUGCACGUGUUCUGAGUGCCAAGUAUUAUCCAAAUGUUGAUAUUCUGAAGGCAGGGCCUAAAAAGGGUUCAUCAUUCACUUGGCAAAGCAUUGUUGCAGGUAUACAGACUUUCAAGCGAGGGUGUAUUUGGCAUAUAGGGUCUGGCUCACAUAUUAACAUAUAG
rnacentral:rRNA from 1 species